GCCACCAUGUGGUUGCUGGGAAUUGCACUCAGGACCUUUGGAAGAACAGUCAGUGCUGUUAACUGCUAAGCCAUCUCUCCAUCCCUUGCUACUGUUUUAAGACAGGGUCUCACUGUGUAAUCUCCAUUUUAAAACAUGUUAUGUGGACCAAGCUGAUCUUGAAUAGAGAUCCACCUACCUUUGCCUCCUAGAUUUUGAGAUUAAAGAUGUGCACCACACUGCUGUUGGGCCUGCAGAGGCUGUCAGAUCCCCUGGAACUGGAAUUAUAGGUAGUUAGGGUGUUGGAAACUGAACCCUAGUUCUCUGAAAUAGCAGUAAGUGUACUUAACCUGCUGAACCAUCUUUCCAGCCUCACAGACUAGGACGUAAUAAAUUAAUUACACAUUGAAUAGCUUUUUUAAAGAUUUAUUUAUUAUAUGUAAGUACACUGUAGCUGUCUUUAGACACUCCAGAAGAGAGCAUCUGAUCUCAUUACGGAUGGUUGUGAGCCACCAUGUGGUUGCUGGGAUUUGAACUCAGGACCUCCAGAAGAACAGUCAGUGCUCUUAACCUCUGAGCCAUCUCUCCAGCCCUGAAUAAUUUUUGAGACAGGAUCUUUCUCUGUAGUCCAGACUGGCCUCCAAUGUGGCAGUUCUACCUCAGCCUCCGGAGUGCUUAGUAGGCUACCAUGCCCAACUGUGAGUUUUUAAAACACAUAUUUACCUUAACAUUAACAUACUUCCUUUAUCAAAGUUUAAAAACUGGGGCUUGGAGGUUUAGCUCAGUGGUAGAGCACUUGCCUAGCAAGCACAAGUCCCUGGGUUUGGUUCUCAGCUUUGGGGAAAAAAAAAAGUUUAAAAAUUGUUCUCGGGCUGAUGAGAUGGCUCAACAGGUAAGAGCACCCGACUGCUCUUCCAAAGGUCCUGAGUUCAAAUCCCAGCAACCACAUGGUGGCUCACAACCAUCUGUAAUGGAGAUCUGACUCCCUCUUCUGGAGUGUCUGAAGACAGCUACAGUGUACUUACAUAUAAUAAAUAAAUAAAUCUUUAAAAAAAUAA
rnacentral:lncRNA from 1 species